GUACUGGAGCCAACUGUCCUCUGUGACUCAGUGACCUGUGUGAGUGAAACCUGUAACUACAACCUGAGCUGCACUGCCAGGGAUGGAGGGGACAAUGUGACCUACAGCUGGACUCACACAGCAGGGGGCGCUGUUGUACCCAAUGUGUCCAUUCUGCACAUCUCUCAGAGCCCCCGUGAUGCUCACCUGGCCGUCACCUGCACAGCCCAGAACCCCGCCAGUAACAGCUCCACAACGGCCUCCGCAAAGAACCUUUGUGCAGCUCCCACAGCCGCUCCGGCCUCCUCACUGUCCUACUGCCGCGUCAAGGGGAUCGUCCUGCUGCUGGUGCUGGGAGCCCUGAGCGCCGGGAUCAUCGCGGUGCACGUCCUCCCCGGCAGGGAGCGGAGACGGGCCUGAGAGCAGAGGAGCUCCCACUGCGGCUGCCAAUCCCGCCUGCGCGUUCCCCAGCCCGCCAGCCCGAGGGUGCUCCGGGGGGACGCUCGCUUGCAGCUUCCGAAGGGUGAAUGUCACUGAGUGGGAGGAGGGGAAGUAUUGGGUCCCUCUGUGUGGCGGGAGAUGUGGUGGAGAAUCGGCCCUGCUCAGAGGCGCCCUCUGGCAGCCGCCGGCAGCACAACAGGUGCGCCUGCCUCGGUUUCCUCCCAUCGACCUUCUGAAAAGACCCCAGUGUCUAAUCGUUCCCCUACCUGGGGCUGAUUUAUUGUCCCAGAGUGUAAACAGCCCCUAGGCGCCCAGCCCACAGCUCACGCAAAUCCCCCGACCCAGAGCUCACUGCUCAGUCCCCACGGCUGCUCCAACGCCUGGUUCUUUCCAGGCUUCCCAGACCUUUCCCAGGGACGCCCUGCCGUGCCUGCUCCCCACGAGGCUCUCCCCUCCUCCAUGGCACCCGGCUCUCUGGGGACAGGAGCUCACUUCCAGCUGCACCUGGUUAAUGCCCAAGGCAAGCCGGCCCCGGCCUCUGGCCGUUAAAGGGGCAGAACACCCUGUCACGGAGGCACUUUCCCCCCACUGUGCUCUGGGGCCGAUGACUGUGCGGGGCAGGGCGAUGGAGAGCCAGGACCAAGGAGUUUGGCCAGGAAGAAACUCAGCUGCCUUGUGAACCCAGGACUGGCCAUAAAAACAGGGGACUCCGGCCUGGUCUAGACCCAGCUGCUGCACCAGAAUCACUCUACAGGUCAGUGGGGGAUUUUCUACUGGUACAAUGAAAGCGCUGCCUCCGUUUCUGGGGAUGCCCUUGUCUCAGUGGAAAGGGGCUUCUCUGGGUGCAGCCCCUGAACCUCUUUAACUGUCUCCGUUUCUAAACCAAGCCCUUGUGGAGACAAGCCCUUAGGAAUUACCACAUGGGAUCAGAAUCCCGGCCAGUCUAAACCAGCAUCCCUGCUCCAGCCCUGCCCUGCCUCGGAUAAUUCAGAGGAAGGCAAAACACUCCCCCUAGUGGGCAAUACUGGAAUAACCUGCCCAUAUGAGGAAUUUUCCUCACCCCACGCACAGAGAGAAGUUGGUUUAUACCCUGGUGCCAAAGAGUUAAUGUCCCUUCCACAUUCUAUCUCUCCUCCCCAGCAGAACCGUCAAUGUCCUUGUGAUUCAGACAGGUCGAGGGUGUGUUGGGUUUUAAUCCUGCAAAAGCGUGACAGAGCGAUAAUAUCCAGUGGCAAUGAGUUCCACAGGAUAACUUUCCAUCAUGUAAAUAAAGUCUCCACCUCUGCA